rnacentral:rRNA from 1 species
ACUCAAAUGAAUUGACGGGGGCCCGCACAAGCGGCGGAGCGUGCGGUUUAAUUCGACGCGACGCGCAGAACCUUACCAGGGCUUGACAUGCUCCUGCAGAGCCGGGAAACCGGUUGGCCUUUGAGGGUGGAGCACAGGUGCUGCAUGGCUGUCGUCAGCUCGUGUCGUGAGAUGUUGGGUUAAGUCCCGCAACGAGCGCAACCCCCGUGGUCAGUUGCGGAUGUUUCUGACCAGACUGCCGGCAGCAAACCGGAGGAAGGUGGGGAUGACGUCAAGUCAGCAUGGCCCUUACGUCCUGGGCGACACGCACGCUACAAUGGCCGGGACAACGGGUUGCCAAACCGCAAGGUGGAGCCAAUCCCCCAAACCCGGUCUCAGUUGGAAUUGUGGGCUGCAACCCGCCCACAUGAACGUGGAGUCGCUAGUAACCGUGGGUCAGCAUUACCGCGGUGAAUACGUUCCCGGGCCUUGUACACACCGCCCGU